GGGGAAUAUUGCACAAUGGGCGAAAGCCUGAUGCAGCAACGCCGCGUGAGCGAUGAAGGCCUUCGGGUCGUAAAGCUCUGUCCUCAAGGAAGAUAAUGACGGUACUUGAGGAGGGAGCCCCGGCUAACUACGUGCCAGCAGCCGCGGUAAUACGUAGGGGGCUAGCGUUAUCCGGAAUUACUGGGCGUAAAGGGUGCGUAGGUGGUUUCUUAAGUCAGAAGUGAAAGGCUACGGCUCAACCGUAGUAAGCUUUUGAAACUAAGAGACUUGAGUGCAGGAGAGGAGAGUAGAAUUCCUAGUGUAGCGGUGAAAUGCGUAGAUAUUAGGAGGAACACCGGUGGCGGAGGCGGCUCUCUGGACCGAUACUGACGCUGAGACGCGAAAGCGUGGGUAGCAAAC
rnacentral:rRNA from 1 species